rnacentral:rRNA from 1 species
UACGUAGGGGGCUAGCGUUGUCCGGAUUUAUUGGGCGUAAAGAGCGCGUAGGCGGCCAGGUAAGUCCGACGUGAAAUCUGGAGGCUCAACCUCCAGCGGUCGUUGGAAACUACUUGGCUAGAGUCCGGAAGAGGAGAGUGGAAUUCCUGGUGUAGCGGUGAAAUGCGCAGAUAUCAGGAAGAACACCGAUGGCGAAGGCAGCUCUCUGGGACGGUACUGACGCUGAGACGCGAAAGCGUGGGGAGCAAACAGG